rnacentral:tRNA from 1 species
GGGAAUGUGGCUCAGUGGUAGAGUGCUUGCCUAGCAUGUAUGAUGCCCUGAGUUCAAUACCUCAGUACCA